rnacentral:lncRNA from 1 species
AUCAAUGGAUGGAAAAUGUAACAGAUGUAUUAUUUUGAAAUAAAAUAGUACGUGAGAUAUGAAAAUGAAAUGUUUUAAAGAUGUUGUAUGAGGUUGUAAUAGAUCUCAAACCUGAGGGAUUAUAUGUAAUUUACCUUUUUUUUUUUUUUAGGUAGACAAUAGUUUAAAUAUGAUACUCACAGCACCACACCUGCGUUACUCAUACUGUUCUGCCAAUCACACUGAAAAUUCACGUGAGAUGGCGUGGUAAUUUGCCGCUAAAGCAACCCUAUUUUGAUGUCCAACUAGGCAGGGGCCCUCAGUUUCUUCACUCAAUAAACAAAACUGAUGUGGAGUUAAGCAUUGUGGCUUCCUUGUGGCCUUAAUUUGCCACGAGAUUUAGUGGCAGCAGUGGCAUCCUAAUUUUAAUGAACCGUCAUUUAGUUAUGCGUAACAUGCACGAUGCAUUCAUCCACUUAUACUGUAGUGGGUGGAGAGAUUGUGGUUUGCGCAUUCAUCUCUAUUCCUUUUGUUAUGUGAACAUGCAUCUUGGAACAAAAA